AAGUGGGUGGUACAGUGGAUAGAGCACCAGACUUGGAAUCAGGAAGAUUUGAGUUCCUAUCUGUCCUCACUUA
rnacentral:tRNA from 1 species